GGCCUCGUGGCCCAAUGGCAAGGCGUCUGACUACGAUGAUGAUCCAUCGAGAUAAUCAGGAGAUUCUGGGUUCGACCCCCAGCGAGGUCA